GCCUACGGGGGGCAGCAGUGGGGAAUAUUGGACAAUGGGCGCAAGCCUGAUCCAGCCAUGCCGCGUGUGUGAAGAAGGCCUUUUGGUUGUAAAGCACUUUAAGCGAGGAGGGGGCUACUUGGAUUAAUACUCUAGGAUAGUGGACGUUACUCGCAGAAUAAGCACCGGCUAACUCUGUGCCAGCAGCCGCGGUCAUACAGAGGGUGCGAGCGUUAAUCGGAUUUACUGGGCGUAAAGCGUGCGUAGGCGGGUUCUUAAGGCGGAUGGUAAAUCCCUGAGCUUAACUUAGGAAUUGCAUUCGAUACUGGGAAGCUAGAGUAUGGGAGAGGAUGGUAGAAUUCCAGGUGUAGCGGUGAAAUGCGUAGAGAUCUGGAGGAAUACCGAUGGCGAAGGCAGCCAUCUGGCCUAAUACUGACGCUGAGGAGCGAAAGCGUGGGGAGCAAACAGGAUUAGAUACCCUUGUAGUCUA
rnacentral:rRNA from 1 species